UCUCCGUGGGGCCUCCGGUGUCUUAGGGUCGCCGGAGGCUGGAACCCACGGGGCCACCCUCCGAGGGUCAGCAGCUGCCGAGGCCGUUGCCACAGAAGGUGGCAGCACCUCCUCGCGGGUCGCGGGGAGUGGGCUCCCCCAGGGGCUUCUGGGACGCGACCCUGCGACCCACGCCAUUCAGCAGUCGGAUUUUAUUUUGUUUCAGAAACACUUCAGGACCAUCUAGUCUUUUUCUCUAUUUAGGGAAGAGUUUUAAGAAUGUUACAAAAGAAACAGACUCCUGAAACAACGUUACACCCUAGCAUGAAGAAAGCGUCCACAGAGUGUGCUUCCCCCAGGGGUUAAGCACAGAAUCUCCCUUUGGCCCGCAGUUCUGGAAAAAUAAGGCAGGGACCCCGAGGAGAGUGGGGGCAGUGCCGCACUGUUUCCCGGGGCCUCAAGCAAACUCCCGUUAACAGGCUGAACGGACCUGAACAUCACAGGGAGGCCAGGGCCUGAGAAGAGCCGGAGAUAGGAGAAGAUGGGAGAGCCCUUCAGUCUGGAGUUUGCUAACUUGGUCAAGGACAACAGACGGCAUCAACUCCCUGAUGGCUGCAAAGGGGGAAGAUACAGGCCUGUCCUCAGAACAUCGGCCUGGCCAUUGGAAGCGGAGCACUGGAUUAAGAGUCCCCAAUGACCUCAUCAUGUCCUUGGUGGAUGUGGGACCUCUCUGGAGAAAGGCAGUGUCAGCUUGCGUUUGACAGACACUCAUGGAAGGACCUCCAUGGGUUGUGACUGCACACACUGGGCUCACCAUGCUUAUUUUGACCACAUGGACAGCCUGUUGGUCCCAGCUACUCAGGAGGCUGGGACAGGCGGAUGGCUUGAGCCCAGCAAUUCAAGUCCAGCCUGGG